rnacentral:rRNA from 1 species
UGGGGAAUUUUGGACAAUGGGCGCAAGCCUGAUCCAGCCAUGCCGCGUGCGGGAAGAAGGCCUUCGGGUUGUAAACCGCUUUUGUCAGGGAAGAAAUCUUCUGAGUUAAUACCUCGGGAGGAUGACGGUACCUGAAGAAUAAGCACCGGCUAACUACGUGCCAGCAGCCGCGGUAAUACGUAGGGUGCAAGCGUUAAUCGGAAUUACUGGGCGUAAAGCGUGCGCAGGCGGUUUUGUAAGACAGAGGUGAAAUCCCCGGGCUCAACCUGGGAGCUGCCUUUGUGACUGCAAGGCUUGAGUGCGGCAGAGGGGGGAUGGAAUUCCGCGUGUAGCAGUGAAAUGCGUAGAUAUGCGGAGGAACACCGAUGGCGCGA